rnacentral:rRNA from 1 species
CAGCAGCCGCGGUAAUACCAGCACCCCGAGUGGUCGGGACGAUUAUUGGGCCUAAAGCAUCCGUAGCUUGUUCUGCAAGUCUUCCGUUAAAUCCACCUGCUCAACAGAUGGGCUGCGGGAGAUACUACAGGGCUAGGAGGCGGGAGAGGCAAGCGGUACUCAGUGGGUAGGGGUAAAAUCCUCUGAUCCACUGAAGACCACCAGUGGCGAAGGCGGCUUGCCAGAACGCGCUCGACGGUGAGGGAUGAAAGCUGGGGGAGCAAACCGGAUUAGAUACCCGGGUAGUCCCAGCUGUAAACGAUGCAGACUCGGUGAUGGGUUGGCUUUGUGCCAACCCAGUGCCGCAGGGAAGCCGUUAAGUCUGCCGCCUGGGGAGUACGGUCGCAAGACUGAAACUCAAAGGAAUUGA